GAUCAUGGAACCCUGAGUUAUAUACUCACAAAGAGAACUCCCCCAGGAAAGCUCCCCUCAGGUACUUAGAGAGUCCAGAAUCACAACGGAACUUCCUAGGUUUUUCCCCAACAUGUCUGCCAACUUUGGUGAAGAUUGGAUAUUGGACAUCCGAGUUAUUCAUCCACAAAUUGGAUCCCCCCCCAGGAGAGUUUACCACACCGCACAGAAGCCCAUUCUGCCUACUGAUCCAAUUUUGUUUCUGUCCCCAUCUCUAGUGACAAGUAUUCCAUGCAGAGGCCCAGUCUGCGUGGUCAUCUCUUGCUCACAACCUAUACACACCCUUGAGGGAACCACAAAUGAAUAGUUUUUCCUGAUAUAAAAAGUAAAGCAAAAGUGCACAAGACUCUAGUUUUGUCAAGAUUCUAUAAAUCUACAAGGUGCAUACCAUAAUCCACAGGAGCCUCCAGUGUGUGACUUCUAGCUCUAUUUUAAAGAUUUACUUUUAUUAAAAAGCUUAUACCAUGGUGAAGUUUAGAUUCCAGUUUGUGUUUAUUUUCUUGCAAAGCAAAUCCUAUACAGUAUUUUCUGCCUAGUUAGAAGCCAGCCUAGUCCCUAAGCUACUUUUAAAAAUGCCUCUUUAUAGAAAAACACCCUCCAGGGAAGCCAUCCAGGGUUUACACUCUUUUAAAGAAAUUGCAUUGAGAAUAUGACAAAAUUGGUCUUUUCUUCCUAUUCAAAAAUAUAUCUGUAAAAUGGAUAUAUUUAUGAAUCCCAGUUAUCCAUGCACCACAUUAUAACUACACAAUCUAUCAGACUGUAGGACUCUGUUCUGAAUGCAGAAGACUCCGAUAUGUGUUGCAUUUUGUCCAUGAUUCCUUGCCUGCUAUACCUACACUUGGAAAGAUGCAACACAAACUUUAAACUAGUGUCAUGGCAAAUUUUGAAAUGGAAAAGAAGGCCGAGUCAGCCACUGGAUUUCUGGGCUCAUUCCGGCCCCUUCUUAGAUUCGACCCUAUCAAUAGUCCCCAACCUUGGUUCCAGCUGAGACAGAUCCAUAGAAGACUCCUUGCUAAUCCCUUCAAGGACAUUUGUGUCUCUUUCUCUCCAUGCCCAUAUUGCAAAAGCUUGACAAUUUCUACCGCAUCUCUCAAUAUUGAGGCCCUAAAUCUUAAUCAAUAUCAUUUGUAAAUACUCAAGAGCAUGGGUGAUGUAAUCCCAAUGCCCUGCAAUUCUGUCUUGAAAUUAUUUUUCUGCCUUUCUAUGACAUGGCCUGAAGACUUCUCCAGAUUGGUUUCCCAUCCAAAGAUGUGACAAAUGUUUUUUUUUUCUCAUCCUUAACAACAGCAGAGGAAUAGCAGCAGUGUCAGCUGCAACGACAAUUUUGGUACAUGCUGUAAAGACUGGAUUCAGCUUUAGAAAACCAGCUACCAGUUUUCCACACUUUGCAUUUUGUGCAAAAUACAGUGCUUUCUACGCAACAUCUGGAAAAAGCAGACCCACAAAUAUUUGGCUUAAGAGGCGCCAACAUGCGAAAAAGGCACAAAAAUGCUCACACUGCGAGGAGAAGACUUUUGGCAUGUUUCGUUGUGUGAGACAAAGAAAGCAAGAAUUAUAUUUCUACUCUCUUGUGCUCUCUGCAAAGUUUCACAUACCCUGGCAAGAGAACUAUGUGGCUGUGAUGAUAACCACGUGAUUGGACAAGACCGUCAGACUUUAUCUGUUCUUAAUCCUAAUGCACAUGCUGGUCAGUUUCAAAUAUAGACGAAUCAGCCAAUUUCUCAUCUCUGUUGAAGUCCUUUCAACUCUUCUUAUAAACCAAUUUACAAGAAUCAGGAUGUUCUUCGCAAACCAAACCGAAAUGAAAUUCUCAGUUAUGUCUGGCCCAAUUCCACAUGGACACCUAUUGUCCUGAAUCGACAAGGCCAUAUUGUACCUACAUCCCAUGCUGCUGUAAACGGAAGGAGAAUAUCACAGCAAAUGAGAGCAAACAGUGCUGCUUAUAUACUACCCCAUCGUGCUUAAAGCACUCUCUGGGCAGUUUGUAAUUUAAUUAUGCAGGGUACACAUUGGCCCCUGCCCCACCCUAGUGAGCUGGAUACUCAAUUUUCCAAUAUUGGAAGAAUAGAAGGCUGAGUUAACUUUCAGCUGCCUAUCUGAGCUGGUUGGUAUUGAAAUUAGGUCAUGAACA
rnacentral:lncRNA from 1 species